rnacentral:rRNA from 1 species
UAGGGAAUAUUGGUAAUCUGGGAAACCGGGAACCAGCAACGCCGCGUGAGGGAAGACGGUCUUCGGAUUGUAAACCUUUAGCUUUGGGGAAGAAACAAAUGACGGUACCCAAAGGGGCAGCCACGGCUAACUACGUGCCAGCAGCCGCGGUAAUACGUAGGGGGCUAGCGUUAUCCGGAAUUACUGGGCGUAAAGGGUGCGUAGGUGGUUUCUUAAGUCAGAGGUGAAAGGCUACGGCUCAACCGUAGUAAGCCUUUGAAACUGGGAAACUUGAGUGCAGGAGAGGAGAGUGGAAUUCCUAGUGUAGCGGUGAAAUGCGUAGAUAUUAGGAGGAACACCAGUUGCGAAGGCGGCUCUCUGGACUGUAACUGACACUGAGGCACGAAAGCGUGGGGAGCAAACA